rnacentral:piRNA from 1 species
UGCACGGAAGAAAAGGAGAGACUUGGCUGA